rnacentral:misc_RNA from 1 species
GUCACAAGAGCAGCGGUGCUCUACUGCCGCCGCCUCAAAAAUUUUCCCAGCGUCCAAACACAGCUUUGGGAAUUCUGGAAAUCUCCCAACUUUAACACUGUCAACAAUCGUUGUCAUGGCUUCCUCCACUAUUGUCCCUGCCUCGCAUUCCUUCAUCGCAAACAAGAAGGAUCUGCUGGGUCUUUCUGAUUUCUCCUCAACGUCAUCGCCAUUUUCUAUUCCCAAAUGCCGGAAAUCAAUUUCCAAGAAAAUUGUAUCUGUCAUGGCUCCCCAGCAAUCAGAACGCAAGCCUGCCAGUACUGGAUCGGUGAAGACCGCAAUGACGAUGACAGAGAAAAUAUUGGCGAGGGCCUCUGAGAAGCCUCAGUUGAGCCCAGGUGAGAAUGUUUGGGUCAACGUUGAUACCUUGAUGACACAUGACGUUUUUGGCCCAGGUUCCAUUGGAAUCUUCAAGAGAGAGUUUGGCGAUAAUGCUAAGGUAUUGAACGCUUUUUGCUUAUUUUUGUCGAUACGGCUAAAUUGCUUGGGUGACAGGGUAGUAAGUAAUUUUUUAUUUAAUGAGUUCCUGAUAUUUACUACUAGGGUAAGCUCACACGUUGAAUGAAUUAUAAGUACAUUUGUAUUUCUCGUCACAUUUGUUUUGCCAAGCAUUUGAAUAUAAGGGUUCUGCUUUUCAAGGGCUGCAUGAAGUGCAAGGUUGAUCCGGAUUUCAUGUGAUGUCUGGAAACCCUUUCAUUACCUUAAGGCUAAGGGUUUAUACAAUUAUGAGCCUUUUAUUUGUUUUCUAACUUUUUUUAAUAUAUAUAUUAUUGUUAACAUAAUCUUCAAAGUUAAGCUUUGAGUUGAAGUUAUUACUAUUUGAUUCCUUAACUGGCUACCCCCUCCUUUCCAAUUUUUUGUAUAUAGCAAUUUCUUCUUUUAAUUUAUUUUAUUUAAAGUUUCUUCUUAUGGCAUGCUUGGUAGUACCUCCCUGACUUAGUACUCAAUAUUGAAGGUUUGGGACCGUGAGAAAGUUGUCAUUAUACCAGAUCAUUAUAUAUUCACUACUGAUGAACGUGCAAACCGAAAUGUGGAUAUGUUGAGGGAUUUCUUCCUGGAGCAAAAUAUAAAGUACUUCUAUGAUAUCAAGGAUCUUAGUAACUUUAAGGUUAAUCCUGAUUAUAAAGGUGUAUGCCAUAUUGCACUUGCCCAAGAAGGUCAUUGUAGGCCAGGCGAGGUCCUGUUAGGUACAGACUCUCACACUUGCACCGCUGGAGCAUUUGGCCAAUUUGCUACUGGAAUUGGCAACACUGAUGCUGGCUUUGUAUUAGGCACUGGGAAGCUCCUGCUUAAGGUGCCUCCAACUCUGAGAUUUGUAAUGGACGGCGAAAUGCCUGAUUAUUUGCUUGCAAAGGAUUUGAUUUUGCAAAUUAUUGGUGAAAUAUCUGUGUCUGGUGCAACGUAUAAAUCAAUGGAGUUUGUGGGCACAACAGUUGAGAGUUUAAAUAUGGAAGAGAGGAUGACAUUAUGUAACAUGGUUGUUGAAGCUGGGGGCAAGAAUGGGGUUGUUUCUGCUGAUAGCACUACAUUCAAGUACCUUGAGGAUAAGACAUCUGUGCCCUAUGAACCAGUUUAUAGUGAUGAGCAAGCAAGGUUUCUUUCCGAGUACAGAUUUGAUAUCUCAAAACUGGAACCAUUGGUUGCAAAGCCUCAUUCUCCUGAUAAUCGUGCUUUAGCAAGAGAAUGCAAAGAUGUCAAAAUAGACAGAGUAUACAUUGGAUCCUGUACUGGUGGAAAAACAGAGGAUUUUAUGGCUGCUGCCAAAGUUUUUCUUGCUUCAGGUAAAAAGGUCAAGGUUCCCACAUUUCUUGUCCCUGCAACCCAAAAGGUUUGGAUGGAUGUGUACGGUCUCCCAGUACCAGGAUCUGGUGGCAAAACUUGCUCGCAGAUUUUUGAAGAAGCUGGUUGUGACACGCCUGCAAGUCCUAGUUGUGGUGCUUGUUUGGGAGGCCCUAAAGACACUUAUGCAAGAAUGAAUGAGCCAAUGGUCUGUGUGUCAACCACAAACAGAAACUUCCCAGGCCGGAUGGGACACAAGGAAGGCCAGAUAUAUCUUGCUUCCCCCUAUACAGCAGCAGCAUCUGCUUUGACCGGUUAUGUCACUGAUCCAAGGGAGUUCUUGCAGUAGGCUAUUUAUGUUGUGUUCUGAGUCUGUUGUACCAAGUCUAUAAAUUUCUAUGAGCGAUGGAAUGUUAGGUUGGUACUAUGUAUGUGCUGAGUUAAUGUACUACCGUUUAUUUUGAUGAAAAUAAUAGAUGCAGUAACAUGGUUAAAUGCUUGCACAAGAAAUGGUGAGAGAAAUUGGGGUUUUGGAUUUUAUGUUGCUUACUAUGGAAAUGCAAUUUAUCACCCCUUCUGUCUGUUGGUCUAUAAAUUUUGUGCCAUUUUGCCAUGAGUAAUUAAGCGCUUGUUGAAACCAAUUUCCUCAUUGAAAAAGAAAGGAAAAAGAGAGCAAGCUGCACCUGUUUGAAAGGUAAAUUUCGUAGGUAAGACAUACGUACACCUGCUUCUGAUAGUUUCACUAGCCACCCCAUCCAACAAAUGAAUUUUAUGAAAAUUUACUUUCAAAUUCAUAUUUGUUGUAAAUAUCGGAAUUCAUUUAGAAUUUUAUAGAUUGCUUUUGCAGGUAACAAUCUCACAGAUCCAAUCCCUGGCUAUGUAGGGAACUUAAAGCAAAUUGAUUGAUUAUUAACCUUGAUUUCAGAGAACUUCCGGUGUCUAUUCCUGAACAAGUACUAUUUACUGAAACACAAUAAUGAGGCUGGAAUUAAUUAUUCUCAUGGAAUCCAUUAAUCAUCAGAAUAAUCGAGAGAUGGGAACUCGACUUGCGUUGCUACCUCCAGAGCGGCGCCACCUCCACCAAGUCCACAGUCUGAAAUGUAACCUAUGGAAACCCCCAGCAAUCCGCUUGUGUUCAAAAGUAGUAAGGGAGGACGGUGGAUGACAUUGAUAGUUGAUGGUGAGAUUGUUUCCAGGUAAUUCUAUGUAGAUUGUGUUGCCAACAUAGCAGCAGGUCAUAAUGCUGGCUAAAUUUUAUACAUCGAUAGUCACUAGUUUAAAUUUGAGUCAGUUUCAUUUCAAUCUGUUGCGUCAAUAAAACCUUGUCAUGGAGAAGGCAUAAUAGCCAAGGCGUUUAGUGGGCUUAAGCAGAAAAUUUCUUAUUAUAGUUUUUGCAAGGGGUCAGGGAUUUAAGAAUUUUGAAAAUAUGUGUAUCUGUUCUUAGCACAGAAGUUAGCAAGAAAAUUUACCUUCUCAGAGCUGUACCAUUGCUGUACUAUGUAGACAUGAAGAACAUCUCUUGGCAUGGGGCUUGACAAUUUCUGUCAAUAGAGAAGAAUUUUUUGUUUGUUUAUUACCAACUUCCUCGUUGCCUGCCUGCAUAGGACCUUUUUAUAUGCCCUUCUCGGUUUAAUAGAUUCAAGUCCUUCCAAAUAAUCACUUGUGUCUCUCUGUCUCGCAUGCUCAUCAACAAU